AUGGCUUCUCGGCCUUUUGGCUAAGAACAAGUGNAGUAUCUGUUCUUAUCAGUUUAAUAUCUAAUAUGUCCUCUAUUUGAGGACUCUAUAUUAAAUGGAUUUUUGGGACUGGGUUAAAAAAAAANNAAAAUAAAAUAAAAUAAAAUGCAUGGAACACACACUGGACCCAGUAUCCCCC
rnacentral:snRNA from 1 species